GCUACGGGAGGCAGCAGUGGGGAAUAUUGCGCAAUGGGCGAAAGCCUGACGCAGCGACGCCGCGUGAGGGAUGAAGGUCUUCGGAUCGUAAACCUCUGUCAGCAGGGAAGAACGGUCACUGUGCUAAUCAGCAGUGAAUUGACGGUACCUGCAAAGGAAGCACCGGCUAACUCCGUGCCAGCAGCCGCGGCAAUACGGGGGGUGCGAGCGUUAAUCGGAAUUACUGGGCGUAAAGCGCUCGUAGGCGGUAUGUUAAGUCAAGGGUGAAAUCCCCGCGCUCAACGUGGGAACUGCCUUUGAAACUGGCAAACGUGAGUGUAGGAGAGGAUAGUGGAAUUCCAGGUGGAGGAGUGAAAUCCGUAGAUAUCUGGAGGAACAUCAGUGGCGAAGGCGACUAUCUGGCACAUAACUGACGCUGAGGAGCGAAAGCGUGGGUAGCAAACAGGAUUAGAUACCCCUGUAGUC
rnacentral:rRNA from 1 species